rnacentral:rRNA from 1 species
GAUGAACGCUGGCGGCGUGCCUAAUACAUGCAAGUCGAGCGAACAGACGAGGAGCUUGCUCCUCUGACGUUAGCGGCGGACGGGUGAGUAACACGUGGAUAACCUACCUAUAAGACUGGGAUAACUUCGGGAAACCGGAGCUAAUACCGGAUAAUAUAUUGAACCGCAUGGUUCAAUAGUGAAAGACGGUUUUGCUGUCACUUAUAGAUGGAUCCGCGCCGCAUUAGCUAGUUGGUAAGGUAACGGCUUACCAAGGCAACGAUGCGUAGCCGACCUGAGAGGGUGAUCGGCCACACUGGAACUGAGACACGGUCCAGACUCCUACGGGAGGCAGCAGUAGGGAAUCUUCCGCAAUGGGCGAAAGCCUGACGGAGCAACGCCGCGUGAGUGAUGAAGGGCUGCGGAUCGUAAAACGCUGUUAUUAGGGAAGAACAAAUGUGUAAGUAACUAUGCACGUCUUGACGGUACCGAAUCAGAAAGCCACGGCUAACUACGG